rnacentral:rRNA from 1 species
AACGAACGCUGGCGGCGUGCCUAACACAUGCAAGUCGUGCGAGAAAGUUCCUUCGGGAGCGAGUAAAGCGGCGCACGGGUGAGUAACACGUAGGUAACCUGCCCCCCAGUCUGGAACAACUAGAGGAAACUCUAGCUAAUGCCGGAUGAGACCACGAUCCCUUCGGGGGUUGCGGCCAAAGAUGGCCUCUACUUGUAAGCUAUCGCUGAGGGAUGGGGCCUGCGGGCCAUUAGCUUGUUGGUGAGGUAACGGCUCACCAAGGCUGUGAUGGCUAGCUGGUCUGAGAGGAUGACCAGCCACACUGGGACUGAGACACGGCCCAGACUCCUACGGGAGGCAGCAGUGGGAAUAUUGCGCAAUGGGCGAAAGCCUGACGCAGCGACGCCGCGUGGGU